UACCAAUAAGCAGUGAUCGGUUUCUUUUGUUUGUUUUUCUAUUGUUUACCUACUAUAUUAGAUGAUGACUUACCUCCAAAACGCUUUAAAACUUUCGUUUAUAAUUCUAAGUGUGUUUAUAAUUAAAGAGCGGCAGUGAAAUAAAAUGAAUUCUUCAAGAAAGGCAGCACCCAUGACAAAAGAUGAGACGAUGAUUCUAGCAGAACUUGUGGCGGCGAAAAAACAUUUCAAUAAUAAGGCAACAAAUGCCACAAACAAUAAAUUGAAGGAGCAGGCUUGGCAAACCCUUGUAAAUGAUUUUAAUUCGUCGAUUCGUCGUUUCCCACGAACUCCAUCGCAGCUUCGACUAAAAUGGGAAAACUUAAAGAACGCUACGGCAACAUAAGAAAUAACCUUAGUAAGGCUGGAGGUGGUAAGGAUUGCAGAUGAAAUUUUGGAUAAAGCAUGCACAUUGUUGUAGGUCACAUAUAAUAUUUUUAACACUUUUAUAGCCAAGCGGAAACAAGAUGGAAGAAAAGAAAUGCAAGGCUAGCAUAGGGACAAUGCAUUAGCAGAAUAUCUAAUAGCAAAAAAGAGACUUGACUUGGAAAAUAAAGAAAAGGAGAUUGUUGUAGCAAAAGUUAAGUUAGAUUUAGAUAAUUUAAAAAAUUAAAAAUUACUUAAAAGGAAUAUUAAAUUUCAUAAAUUAAGUAGGCAAUAAUAAUUUUAUGUUAGAUAGUUUUUUAAGUAUAUGUACAAAUUCAAAAUUAAAUAUCUUGCAUGUACUAACUACCAUGUAAUUAUCAUUUUGGAAAAUAAAAAAUAGUCAAAUUA